rnacentral:lncRNA from 1 species
GGACUGCGAACUAGCAGAGCUACUAAUUAUCCUUUGAAGGCCGAUACACUCUCUCAUUUUGUCAGGUGUGCUAUUUUUAGGGUGUUUAGUCUCUGGGAUGGAAUUGGAAGAAGGUGUUGUUGCCUGCUUUGACAUACCGGCACCUUCGACAUCUGAAUCUGCUCUUUCUUUAUGUUGAUUAACAAGCUUCUCACCAGUUUCUUGUGUCAGGCCAUUUGACAAUUUUCUACAUGUUUCAGCCUGAGAUAUUGACAAUAUUUCUUAGCCUACACAGUACUAGCUUUAGUAUGAAACAGAAACAAAUUCAUACGUUGUUAACAGAUAAGUUUUGGAAUUUCACUUUCUACAGGAUCUUAACGUGUGUUAUGUAUUUUCAGAAAUUAUUUAAGUUAUUUUGCUCUUUGUGUGGGUAGUGUGACACCAGAAAACUGGAAAUUACUUAAUAGAAGAUCCAUGUUAUGAACAAACUUCUCCAUUCAAAUUUCCAACCUUGAAGGCUAAUUAAUCAAAGUUAAUUCCUGACACCAAAAACUGAAACCCAUUAUGAGAACAUACAUGUUUGUAAUAGCAAAUAGAUUUGUCACUCAUUAAUUACCAAACCAAGUAAUUAAGUUACCUGGAGUUUCAGAUAGAG